rnacentral:rRNA from 1 species
CACGUAGGGGCGAGCGUUGUCCGGAAUUACUGGGCGUAAAGGGCGCGCAGGCUGUUAUGCGAGUCUGCUGUGAAAUGUACCGGCUCAACCGGUGCCUUGCGGCGGAUACUGCAUAGCUGGAGUACUGGAGAGGGAAGUGGAAUUCCCGGUGCAGCGGUGAAAUGCGUAGAUAUCGGGAGGAACACCGGUGGCGAAGGCGGCUUCCUGGUCUGUAACUGACACUGAGGCGCGAAAGCAUGGGUAGCGAACAGGAUUAGA